rnacentral:rRNA from 1 species
GUGAGGAAUAUUGGACAAUGGGCGCAAGCCUGAUCCAGCCAUGCCGCGUGCAGGAAGACGCAUCUAUGGUGUGUAAACUGCUUUUGUACGGGAAGAAACACUCCCUCGUGAGGGAGCUUGACGGUACCGUAAGAAUAAGGAUCGGCUAACUCCGUGCCAGCAGCCGCGGUAAUACGGAGGAUCCAAGCGUUAUCCGGAAUCAUUGGGUUUAAAGGAUCCGUAGGCGGUUUAAUAAGUCAGUGGUGAAAGCCCAUCGCUCAACGAUGGAACGGCCAUUGAUACUGUUAGACUUGAAUUACAAGGAAGUAACUAGAAUAUGUAGUGUAGCGGUGAAAUGCUUAGAUAUUACAUGGAAUACCAAUUGCGAAGGCAGGUUACUACUUGUGGAUUGACGCUGAUGGACGAAAGCGUGGGGAGCGAACAGGAUUAGAAACCCCUGUAGUCC